AAAAUCGCGCCUACCAGAUCCGGCAGCUUCAUCGAAACCGCCGCCGACAUAAGCUGUGGGCGCUGUACAUCCCUGGAUCCU
rnacentral:sRNA from 1 species